rnacentral:lncRNA from 1 species
CCCCCAUUUUAUCCCCAAAUAUUUCUAAAAAUGAGUCGAGUUAGCUAACCCCAUCUCAAAUGGGUUAUCCCGGAUUAGUUAACCCCACCAAACUCCAACCAAAUAUUAUUUUCUAUUCAUAAUAACUCACUAUCCUUCUUAUCCCACCUACUUUAACCAAACAAUAUUUUUCACUAUCCUAGACUAACUCCAACCCUCAACCAAACACAAAAAUAUUCUAACCCCAUCUUAACCCUAAACUUAAUCCUAUCUUUGGAAUAACUAGUUUUUCCUUAACCCCGAACCAAACGGUAGCUUAUAGAUCACUUUAAAUAAAUCACGUAGGCCAUAUCUAACACAACAUCAUCAAAAACGCCAGCGGAG